rnacentral:rRNA from 1 species
UACAUGGAGUGCAAACGUUGCUCGGAAUCACUGGGCGUAAAGGGUGCGUAGGCGGGUCUUUUAAGUCAGGGGUGAAAUCCUGGAGCUCAACUCCAGAACUGCCUUUGAUACUGAAGAUCUUGAGUUCGGGAGAGGUGAGUGGAACUGCGAGUGUAGAGGUGAAAUUCGUAGAUAUUCGCAAGAACACCAGUGGCGAAGGCGGCUCACUGGCCCGGUACUGACGCUGAGGUGCGAAAGCGUGGGGAGCAAACAGG